UCUGGGGAUCCAAAGAAAUAUAAACCAUGUUUACACUCAGGAAGUUUACGGGUACAAACUGUUUGAGCCCAGGAAAUACCGCUUAUCAAAGCUACACUGAAUCUUCUUUUUUCAGCAGCUCCGCAGCCAACUACAUCUAUUCCUUCUACACCUAAACGACGCCACAAGCCCAAACAGUCAAGAACCAAAACUGAAAGAACAAGGCCUGGAAAAAUUACAUCUAAAAUUUCUAAAAUCACUGAACCUACACAAACAACACUGGCUCCCAGUAAAACACAAUUCCUUUCUUUGAAACCUAAACUCUCCCUCAGCUCAGAAGUGACACACACCAAAGCUGGUAAUUACCCUAAACUUUUUUUUUUUUCUUUAUUAUUCCAAAACUAGCAUUGAA